UACGGAGGGUGCAAACGUUGCUCGGAAUCAUUGGGCGUAAAGGGUGCGUAGGCGGCGCGGUAAGUCGGAUGUGAAAUCUCGGGGCUUAACUCCGAAACUGCAUUCGAUACUGCCGUGCUUGAGGACUGGAGAGGAGACUGGAAUUUACGGUGUAGCGGUGAAAUGCGUAGAUAUCGUAAGGAAGACCAGUGGCGAAGGCGGGUCUCUGGACAGUUCCUGACGCUGAGGCACGAAGGUCAGGGGAGCAAACGGG
rnacentral:rRNA from 1 species